CCUACGGGUGGCUGCAGUGGGGAAUAUUGGACAAUGGGGGAACCCUGAUCCAGCCAUGCCGCGUGUGUGAAGAAGGCCCUCGGGUUGUAAAGCACUUUCAGUGAGGAAGAACGCCUGGUGGUUAAUACCCAUCAGGAAAGACAUCACUCACAGAAGAAGCACCGGCUAACUCCGUGCCAGCAGCCGCGGUAAUACGGAGGGUGCGAGCGUUAAUCGGAAUUACUGGGCGUAAAGCGCGCGUAGGUGGCUUGAUAAGCCGGUUGUGAAAGCCCCGGGCUCAACCUGGGAACGGCAUCCGGAACUGUCAAGCUAGAGUGCAGGAGAGGAAGGUAGAAUUCCCGGUGUAGCGGUGAAAUGCGUAGAGAUCGGGAGGAAUACCAGUGGCGAAGGCGGCCUUCUGGACUGACACUGACACUGAGGUGCGAAAGCGUGGGUAGCAAACAGGAUUAGAUACCCCUGUAGUC
rnacentral:rRNA from 1 species